rnacentral:rRNA from 1 species
ACUCCUGCGGGAGGCAGCAGUGGGGAAUUUUGGACAAUGGGCGAAAGCCUGAUCCAGCAAUGCCGCGUGCAGGAUGAAGGCCUUCGGGUUGUAAACUGCUUUUGUACGGAACGAAAAAGCUCCUUCUAAUACAGGGGGCCCAUGACGGUACCGUAAGAAUAAGCACCGGCUAACUACGUGCCAGCAGCCGCGGUAAUACGUAGGGUGCGAGCGUUAAUCGGAAUUACUGGGCGUAAAGCGUGCGCAGGCGGUUAUGUAAGACAGAUGUGAAAUCCCCGGGCUCAACCUGGGAACUGCAUUUGUGACUGCAUGGCUAGAGUACGGUAGAGGGGGAUGGAAUUCCGCGUGUAGCAGUGAAAUGCGUAGAUAUGCGGAGGAACACCGAUGGCGAAGGCAAUCCCCUGGACCUGUACUGACGCUCAUGCACGAAAGCGUGGGGAGCAAACAGGAUUAGAAACCCGAGUAGGCCCAUGAU